rnacentral:rRNA from 1 species
AUAGCGUAUAUUAAAGUUGUUGCGGUUAAAACGCUCGUAGUUGGAUCUCAGGCGCAGGCGGGCGGUCCGGCUCGCGCCGGUUCACUGCCCGUUGUCUCCUGCCCUACCGUCUGCCGGCUCUCUCCCGUGGGUGCUCUUCACUGAGCGUCCCGGGUGGCCGGCGCGUUUACUUUGAAAAAAUUAGAGUGUUCAAAGCAGGCCUCAGCUGCCUGAAUAAUGGUGCAUGGAAUAAUGGAAUAGGACCUCGGUUCUAUUUUGUUGGUUUUCGGAACUGGAGGUAAUGAUUAACAGGGACAAACGGGGGCAUUCGUAUUGCGGCGUUAGAGGUGAAAUUCUUGGAUCGCCGCAAGACGAGCUACUG